GACGACGCUGGCGGCGUGGAUUAGGCAUGCAAGUCGAACGGUAUCAUCCUUUCGGGGGUGAGAGAGUGGCGAACUGGUGAGUAACACGUUAGGUUAUCUACCCUCAAGACGGGGACAACCCAGGGAAACUUGGGCUAAUACCGGAUGUGAGCAACUUUUAGUUGUUUGAAAGGUGGCGUAAGCUGUCGCUUGGGGAUGAGCCUGCGUCCUAUUAGUUAGUUGGUGAGGUAACGGCUCACCUAGGCAAUGAUAGGUAGGCGGCCUUAACGGGUGGUCGCCCACACUGGGAUUGAGAUACGGCCCAGACUCCUACGGGAGGCAGCAGUCGAGAAUAGUCUACAAUGGUCGGAAGACUGAUAGUGCGACGCCGCGUGAACGAUGAAUCCCUUCGGGGUGUAAAGUUCUUUUAUAUGUGAGCAGUGCUUCUUAUAUUAACAGUAUGGGGAGAGAGAUAUUAGCAUAUGAAUAAGCAACGGCUAACUCCGUG
rnacentral:rRNA from 1 species